GUAUUUUUUUAGUAUUACUUUUAAAACAGAAGUUCAUUCUUUCCGUACAUUAUUAACAAUCUUGACAAUAAAUUACAAUAUUUACCAUACCAAGUGCGAGAAUAAAUUCAGGUUUGAGAUGUUCAGCCAAGUUUCCCAAUUCUUCUGCCACUGCCUUUUCGACCUUAGUGUAAUAUGGCGAAAUAAUUUGUCCUCCCCAAUCACCGAUAGCAAAAAAUUGUAAAGAGCCCAUAGACGGUAUUUUGCGACAUUCUACCAGACUCGGCCUGUGGGUUAGCAGAAAUACAAAUAAUCCCAUCAGAAAAACGCAGAUACUUUGCUGUUGCAACAUAUUUCAGUUACAUAAUCUGAUUAUCUUCCGAAUUAAACUCCACUCGCGGUGAGACUGUAUACUCUCCUUAAAUGUAACUUUAAUUAAAAUAUUUUUUGCUUUUCUUGUAUUUGUCUGCCGUUUGACUUUUCA